CUACGGGAUGCAGCAGUCGGGGAUCUUUUGCAAUGCGCGAAAGCGUGACAAAGCGAACCAGAGUGUUUCUUACAAAAGAAACUUUUGUUAGCUGUAAAAAGGCUGACGAAUAAGGACUGGGCAAGACCGGUGCCAGCCGCCGCGGUAAUACCGGCGGUCCAAGUCGCAUCCACAUUUAUUGGGUCUAAAACAUUCGUAGCUUGUUAUAUAAGUCUCUUGUGAAAUCUCAUAUCUCAAGUAUGAGGCGUGCAAGAGAUACUGUAUUGCUAGAGACCGGAAGACGCAAAGAGUACGAUUGAGGUAACGGUAAAAUGUGUUAAUCUUAAUUGGACUAACAAUGGCGAAGGCACUUUGCGAGCACGGAUCUGACAGUAAGGAAUGAAGGCUAGGGGCGCAAAAGGGAUUAGAUACCCUCGUAGUC
rnacentral:rRNA from 1 species